rnacentral:rRNA from 1 species
CUUUGAGGYAUUCUGCCGGCCUAUGUAUCACUACAAACACAUAAAGUAACAGAAUGUAUUCGCGUCKAACGCAUCUAAAUACAACUUUCAGCAACGGAUCUCUUGGCUCUCGCAUCGAUGAAGAACGCAGCGAAAUGCGAUAAGUAAUGUGAAUUGCAGAAUUCAGUGAAUCAUCGAAUCUUUGAACGCACCUUGCGCUCCUUGGUAUUCCGAGGAGCAUGCCUGUUUGAGUGUCAUGGAAUUCUCAACCCACACGUCCUUGUGAUGUUGCGGGCUUGGAUUUGGAGGCUUGCUGGCCCUCUGCGGUCGGCUCCUCUUGAAUGCAUUAGCUUGAUUCCGUGCGGAUCGGCUCUCAGUGUGAUAAUUGUCUACGCUGUGACCGUGAAGCGUUUGGCGAGCUUCUAACCGUCCCGUAUGGCACAACUUCUUUGACAUCUGACCUCAAAUCAGGUAGGACUACCCGCUGAACUUAAGCAUAUCAAU